rnacentral:rRNA from 1 species
CCUACGGGAGCCAGCAGUGAGGAAUAUUGGUCAAUGGACGAGAGUCUGAACCAGCCAAGUAGCGUGAAGGAUGACUGCCCUAUGGGUUGUAAACUUCUUUUAUAUGGGAAUAAAAUGUUCCACGUGUGGGAUUUUGUAUGUACCAUAUGAAUAAGGAUCGGCUAACUCCGUGCCAGCAGCCGCGGUAAUACGGAGGAUCCGAGCGUUAUCCGGAUUUAUUGGGUUUAAAGGGAGCGUAGGUGGAUUGUUAAGUCAGUUGUGAAAGUUUGCGGCUCAACCGUAAAAUUGCAGUUGAAACUGGCAGUCUUGAGUACAGUAGAGGUGGGCGGAAUUCGUGGUGUAGCGGUGAAAUGCUUAGAUAUCACGAAGAACUCCGAUUGCGAAGGCAGUUCACUGGACUGCAACUGACACUGAGGCUCGAAAGUGUGGGUAUCAAACAGGAUUAGAUACCCGAGUAGUC